rnacentral:pre_miRNA from 1 species
GUUCCAGCACGUCAAAGUGGUGGUGAUUUGUUGUGGAUAAGCUCAUAUCACAGCCAGCUUUGAUGUGCUGUGGCAGUC